CCCUUAGACGUUCUGGGCCGCACGCACGCUACACUGACGAAGGCAACGAGCUUUCCUUUACCGAAAGGUACGGGUAAUCUUUUGAAACUUCGUCGUGCUGGGGAUAGAUCCUUGCAAUUUUUGAUCUUAAACGAGGAAUUCCUAGUAAGCGCAAGUCAUCAACUUGCGUUGAUUACGUCCCUGCCCUUUGUACACACCGCCCGUCGCUACUACCGAUUGAAUGGUUUAGUGAGGCCUUCGGAUCCGCGACUCGUUUUGUGGAGAAGUUGGACAAACCCAGUCAUUUAGAGGAAGUAAAAGUCGUAACA
rnacentral:rRNA from 1 species